rnacentral:rRNA from 1 species
UACAGAGGUCUCAAGCGUUGUUCGGAUUCAUUGGGCGUAAAGAGCGCGUAGGCGGCCCUGUAAGUCCGCUGUGAAAGUCAAGGGCUCAACCCUUGAAUGCCGGUGGAUACUGCAGGGCUAGAGUCCGGAAGAGGCGAGUGGAAUUCCUGGUGUAGCGGUGAAAUGCGCAGAUAUCAGGAGGAACACCAAUUGCGAAGGCAGCUCGCUGGGACGUUACUGACGCUGAGACGCGAAAGCGUGGGGAGCAAACAGG